GUAGCUGUCUUCUACACCUCAACCUUUCCCCCUGGGAAUCAUUUCGUUCCCAUUCCCAGUGAAUCUCUGAUGUCCCCUGUCGCCUGCGCGCCAAGUGUUGGUUGAAUAAUUUUUUAAGUGACUUCUUUUAUUUGCAUUUAGAAGCGCUUAAAAAAAAAGUCAACUGGGAUUUGUGGGUGCGUUUAUGUGAAUACAUUAAACCAUUUUCGGAUGUCCUGGGGAGCUUACUUGUUGGUGCUACGGAUAAAGGAUAUAUGUGUGGUGUCCCUGUUAUUGAAAGGCCUUAUUUCAGUUAUUCAUGUUAUGAUUUUAGAUAAAAUUGAUUUAAGAAUUACUUAAUAAUUACGUUCUAACUACUUUAA